UACAUAGGAUGCGAGCGUUGUCCGGAACUAUUGGGCGUAAAGCGUACGUAGGCGGUUUGUUAAGUCAGGGGUUAAAGACCGAGGCUCAACCUCGGGAGUGCCUUUGAUACUGGCAGACUGGAGGACGGCAGAGGAAAGUGGAAUUCCCAGUGUAGCGGUGAAAUGCGUAGAUAUUGGGAGGAACACCAGUGGCGAAAGCGACUUUCUGGGCCGUUCCUGACGCUGAGGUACGAAAGCGUGGGGAGCAAACAGG
rnacentral:rRNA from 1 species